CAUCAACGAGGUGGGCAUCUGGACUGGUUCGGCGAAGGGCUGGACGAAGCGUGAGGGUUGUUCGAUGCCGCUGAUUGACUCUGCACAGAGAAGAGAUUGCAUGUGUGAGAACAUAUGAAUAUAUAUCAUGCAGUACUAAAAUUUUGAUACUCACAGGAGUAGUGAACUCAGCAGGGUCAGCUGUAGGGAACAACGGAGGUGGUGGAGCAUGACCCUGUGCGGCGCCAAGGCUCUGCAUGUACGCGAACAUCUCCGCCAUCCUCUUCUCCAGCUCCUCACGUUGCCUC
rnacentral:lncRNA from 1 species